rnacentral:lncRNA from 1 species
CAAAACUCUUAUAAACAUAUAAAAUAAACUUAAAAUUCAGAGUUUUCUAGAAAUAAAAUAAUGGUCUAGAAACACCCUCCGCCUCCGCCUUAUCAUGAUUGAACCGAACAAAUAAAAAAGAAUGGAGAAAACUCACGGGUAAUGUUUUAUCCCCAACCACACUCCCAGGGAGUUGAUUUGGUCCCGCGCGAAAUCUCUCUCUCUCUCUCUCUCUGGCCAGGGAGUCGCGGCUUCUGUGAAAGAUCCGAAGUGCAUAAUUGUGGCUUGUUGCGAUAUAAUCCAAGUCUUAUUUUCUGUGCUUCGAUUUCAUUUCCAUCUUGUCCAAUCCUCGGGGGUUUCUCCCUUGAUUAGGUUUGGGUCUCGGGGCUUCGGAAUAUAAUACAAAGAUCGGUUUUUUAUUUGGAAAAAGAGUAGNNN